rnacentral:rRNA from 1 species
AUUGAACGCUGGCGGCAUGCCUAACACAUGCAAGUCGAACGGCAGCACGGCAGUAGCAAUACUGUGGGUGGCGAGUGGCGGACGGGUGAGGAAUACGUCGGAAUCUGCCCAGUCGUGGGGGAUAACUAGCCGAAAGGUUAGCUAAUACCGCAUACGACCGAGAGGUAAAGAAGCGGGGGACCGCAAGGCCUCGCGCGAUUGGAUGAGCCGACGUCGGAUUAGCUAGUUGGUGGGGUAAAGGCCCACCAAGGCGACGAUCCGUAGCUGGUCUGAGAGGAUGAUCAGCCACACUGGAACUGAGACACGGUCCAGACUCCUACGGGAGGCAGCAGUGGGGAAUAUUGGACAAUGGGCGCAAGCCUGAUCCAGCAAUGCCGCGUGUGUGAAGAAGGCCUCGG